UACGAAGGGGGCUAGCGUUGCUCGGAAUCACUGGGCGUAAAGCGCACGUAGGCGGAUUGCUAAGUCAGAGGUGAAAUCCUGGAGCUCAACUCCAGAACUGCCUUCGAUACUGGGAGUCUCGAGUCCGGGAGAGGUGAGUGGAACUGCGAGUGUAGAGGUGAAAUUCGUAGAUAUUCGCAAGAACACCAGUGGCGAAGGCGGCCAACUGGUCCGGUACUGACGCUGAGGUGCGAAAGCGUGGGGAGCAAACAGG
rnacentral:rRNA from 1 species